GUCUGGAACGGGCUGAACAUCGACACGAGGACGGGGCCCUUGCGUCCAAUGCUCGACACCUGGAACGUUGUGCACAGGCCGACCACCACACCUCCCUACAGAAGCAUCGACAGCGGUUUUCAGUCUCGGACCAAUGCAGUGCCCGCGCUGAGGUUUCCCUCCAUGAUGACCUGGAUGAUAGCGCUGAAGAUCGACCCCAUCAUGGCGGUGAUCACGCAGAUCGACAGCGGCGCAGGGAAUCUCUUCAGGGCUGCAGUCUGCACUUUCACAUCCGAAUUCAGUUAAAUCCUUUCCACAAAAGAAUCAGAUUCAGUCCACAGAUCAGACGUACCAGCUAUUCAAACAGAAUUACAGACAAGUCAAAAGUGUUUUAUCUGUGUGUGAGGAGUUUGUACCUGCAGGACGGUGUUGCAGGCGAAGAUGGUGACUCCGGUGAGCAGGUAUAGGCAGCCAAGGACCCAACCUCUGUCGAUGCUUACACCGGAGAGCUCUUCGUCAUCCCCUGGCCCGGAAACGGACUUCGGCGGUGUGCCGGGAGUGGGAUUCUUUAGGAAGCUCACACACAUUGCUCCACUGAGGCACACCAAUGUGCCCAGGAUCUUUGCUCUAGUGUACUUGCACCUCCACUCAAACCUCUCAAACCUGAAUAUGAACAGUAGUACCAAAUGAAAGUUCAGUAAUUUUUCAGUCUGAAAGUUAACAACGUGGCUCUGUUCGGUUGA